rnacentral:lncRNA from 1 species
AAUUUCUCCCUAUGAAACAUCAAAUUUGUAUAAUUCCCAGUCUCAGAAACAUCAGUACUUAACCCUUUUUCUUUAAAAUAGAAAAGACCUCAUGGCUCACAUGUAGGUACUUUUUUUUUUUAACUACUUUAAAAUCUGUAAGUCUUCAUUUUCUUAAAAUGAAUGAAAUUUUAAAUGCCCUGAGUGUUAUGUCUUUUCUCAUGUCCCAUCUGAAAUAGGUUCUCAGGCUGACUUUUAGGACUGACACUCUUAGAAGUCACAGAGCAGAGGAUCAGUCAGUUUGUGUGUAUUUCCUAUGAGUAGGUCCACACUGUCAUGUGGGUGGAAGAACUGUAGAAGUGGCACUGCCUUGAGCUCUGUGUGUGGUUCUGGCCACACUCUCCAUUACAGAGUUACUCUGCUUAAAUAAAGUUAAUGUAAACCAGUGAGCAUCUUUGUGGCCAGCUCCCCAGUCUCUGUAAGUACCCUGUCCACUUCAGGCCUUACACUCAUCAGUGCUGGGCAAAACUGUGGUGCUGGCUAAGUGGCCCUGGACCCCAGCCAGCCCUCUCCUGGUAUUAGUUGUAAGUAAAGGUGCUCCUGUUUCCAUCUGUUCCCCUGGGUUGUACCUGUAGAUUCUUGGGUUCCUGUUGCUUAAUAGGUUACGCGGUCUUCCUUUUGCUCUGUCUUCCUAUUGAAAUCCUGGCGCAUUUGUAGUGCUUCCUGGCUAGCUCUGUCUUUAAGAUGGCUUUUAUCAUUCUUGAGCAGCUUCUUGCUUUCUUCUGUAAUAAGCUGUUCCCAAGAUAUUUCUUGUUCCCUAGUCCUACAGCCGAGACCCUUGUUCCGUGUACAGCAGAAAACAUACAGAAACUAAGGUGUAGGCUUUAGGUAUGUUCAUUGUUUUUGAGGUAUUGCUGUUCAUCGCUAUGUUUAGUGGACUCAACCAGAGAAAACCGAGUUCUUAACACAUUUAAGUAGAUCUAUGAUUGUCUGUUGGUUCAUGCUGUUACCCCAAACUCAUUUCAACUCUAAGGGAUCUAAUUAUCUCUUUCCAUAUCGGGAGCUCCUUCCUUUGCCAGUUGAGGACCUGUUAUUCUAGGAUAUAUUUAUUUAUCUCAUCCUGUGUGAGAACAGUCUCCUGUUGCCUCCACAUUACCACCAUGCUCCCUAGGCCCUCACUUCUGUGCUGGUGGCUCUGAUAGCUCAUUCCACGGCCAGUCCCAGUACCUACAGAAGCCUUUCACUGGCAUCUGAGACCCCUGCUGGGCUCUUGAGACUGUCUUCUCCAACCUUGGACCCCAUCUUGGGGUUCUUUACUUCAGGGCUAAGGCUCAGGUAGAUCUUGAAAGAAGCCUAAAUACAUCUUAGCAUUAGCUGUCUGUCUGGUGCUAGAGAUGAAGCAAGCCAGGGCCUCAUCCAUACCAAGAUGCACUCUACCACUGACCCCUUAAAACAGGUUUUUAAUUUUAGUUACUUGGCCCUAGAAAAUACCUGUUAUGUGUGUAAAUGUAGCCUUCAGUUUAAGUGUAUAAAUUUCAAAAAACAAAGCAAAACAAUAUAAUUUCUGUAUUGAUAAUAAUUUUUUGAGGAUUUUUUUAAAAGUUAGUGCUGGGCUGGUGAGAUGGCUCAGCAGUUAAGAGCACCCAACUGCUCUUCCGAAGGUCCGGAGUUCAAAUCCCAGCAACCACAUGGUGGCUCACAACCAUCCGUAACGAGAUCUGACUACCUCUUCUGGAGUGUCUGAAGACAGCUACAGUGUACUUACAUAUACUAAAUAAUAAAUAAAUCUUUUUAAAAAAAAAAAAAAAAAAAAGUUAGUGCUUAUGCCAGACAUUUGUCCUUUUAAAAAACAAACUAGAUUUUGAUACUCUUUAUGAUUAAUAUAUUUGGCAAUUAUUUUUUUUAAAUAUUUAUUUUAAAAAUUAAGUGUGUUGGAGAAUCUGUGCAGGUGCCCAUAGAUGCAAGUAUUGGACCUUUUAGAUCGGAAGUUGCAGGUGGUUGUGAGCUGCCGGAUAUGGGUGCUAGGAACUGAACUCAGACUCUCUGCAAGAGCAGGAAGCGCUCUAAACUGCGGAGCCGUCUCUCCAACCCCACAGCACCUAAUGUUUGAUGAGCUUACAUGUACAGAGACUGUGAUAAAGGUGUUUGAGCUUUAAGAGGAUGCUCCUCUAACACUGAAAUGAAACACUGUAUGAAAGUGCAAGUAUUGUUGGCAACCAGCCUCAACGCUGUCGUCUGGCAACCCAACCAGUCAUUAAAAUGAGCUGGAGUCGGCCGAGUGGCAGAACACUCAGCGAUAGCUACUUCUGCCCUGGGGGUGGGGGGCAUAUGGAACAACUCCUCCUUUUUUAUCUAGACUUUUGUAUCCACAAAUUAGCUAUGGAGGAAAAGCCUUGUAGUCCUAUGUUAAGCACUAAGUAGUUUUCUUUUUCUUUUUGAUGGUAAAUGCAGU